GGAAUCUUCCGCAAUGGGCGAAAGCCUGACGGAGCAACGCCGCGUGAGUGAUGAAGGGUUUCGGCUCGUAAAACUCUGUUAUUAGGGAAGAACAAAUGUGUAAGUAACUGUGCACGUUUUGACGGUACCUAAUCAGAAAGCCACGGCUAACUACGUGCCAGCAGCCGCGGUAAUACGUAGGUGGCAAGCGUUAUCCGGAAUUAUUGGGCGUAAAGCGCGCGUAGGCGGUUUCUUAAGUCUGAUGUGAAAGCCCACGGCUCAACCGUGGAGGGUCAUUGGAAACUGGGAAACUUGAGUGCAGAAGAGGAAAGUGGAAUUCCAUGUGUAGCGGUGAAAUGCGCAGAGAUAUGGAGGAACACCAGUGGCGAAGGCGACUUUCUGGACUGAAACUGACGCUGAGGCACGAAAGCGUGGGGAGCGAACAG
rnacentral:rRNA from 1 species